AAUUGAGUAUAACAGCGUAAAUAGGGUUAAAUUGAAUUAAUUUGAAUCAGAUUUGAAUUUAUAAGAAUCCAGUUUGAGCUUUGUUCAAACCACAGUAUAUGACCUGCAAGUGGAACACAGAAUCAACACGAAAAGGCAGCCCGGAAGCAAACCUUUCUUUUCCCAGAUUUCUUCCCACCUGAAUCUGACCAAAACACCUAAUAAAGGCUUCGAAGGGCAAGUAGACAAAAUUGGAUUAAAUCAGGCCCAAGAACAUAGAGGGAAAGAGAAAGAUAUAAGGAUACCUCAGUCUACCUGAUUUUGAAGAUUUAGCUUUUUAAACUAACAUGCUUAAUCCUCUCUCUAUAUAAAUAUGAAAAACUAUUGUUAACAACUAAAAACAUUAUACAAAUUUUCGUUCGAGUUCAGA